UUUUCCACACAGAUAUUUCAACCUCAUAUGGCGCGUUAAAGGUACGCAAACUUAUUGGUGUCACUUAUUGUAGCAGCGUAGAACUUUCGAAGCGAUGGAAUAUGUGCUGCAAACAAAUCCAAAACUAUGGACGCAAACGCUGCUACAUGGAACACAAAUCAUUCACACACCAGAUAUUACGUUUAAUGUCACUUUUUUGCGUGCAAUUAAACCUUUUGGUCAACACAAGCACGAGAAUUGGAACGACAUGGCGUGUGUCAACUGGGUUUUGCCAAUGAGCUAGAGGGCAAAGCAGUUUCAAUAUCUUUGAGCUUACCGGCACUUGGCCGUGCCAUUAGCAGCUAAAACACAGAAAUUAAAGGGAGGACAUAAAUUCACCGAAAUUAGUUCAAUGGAAAUACUACUAAGACUUGAACGGUGCCGUGUUAGAUUUAGAAUUCCUGAAACAUAAGAAACCCUCCUCCCAGAUGAAUCUAGUACUAGUGAAAUUAAUGAAAGAACAGAUCUUAUAAAAACUCCGAAAGAAACAUAAAGAGUCCUCACAUAAUGUGCGCAGCUUUCACUUCCAGACCGCACGGGGUAUUUGACAUUUUCCACUCUUCCUCCAGCCUUUGUCCGAUAGCAAAAAUUGUUCAAAUAUUCAUUUUCACCUACUUUAUACAUAUGUAUAUAGUGUAGUACGAUAAUAUAUGUAUAAAGUAAAUAUAAUAAUAAACAACUAAAUGGCAUGAUAUUUUCAAUAGAU